CCACUCUGCCACUUACAAUAC
rnacentral:siRNA from 1 species